rnacentral:rRNA from 1 species
UCUCCUGGAAACGGGUGGUAAUGCCGGAUGCUCCGACUCCUCGCAUGGGGUGUCGGGAAAGAUUUCAUCGGUAUGGGAUGGGGUCGCGUCCUAUCAGGUAGUCGGCGGGGUAACGGCCCACCGAGCCUACGACGGGUAGCCGGCCUGAGAGGGCGACCGGCCACAUUGGGACUGAGAUACGGCCCAGACUCCUACGGGAGGCAGCAGUGGGGAAUAUUGCACAAUGGGCGCAAGCCUGAUGCAGCGACGCCGCGUGCGGGAUGACGGCCUUCGGGUUGUAAACCGCUUUUGAUCGGGAGCAAGCCUUCGGGUGAGUGUACCUUUCGAAUAAGCACCGGCUAACUACGUGCCAGCAGCCGCGGUAAUACGUAGGGUGCAAGCGUUAUCCGGAAUUAUUGGGCGUAAAGGGCUCGUAGGCGGUUCGUCGCGUCCGGUGUGAAAGUCCAUCGCUUAACGGUGGAUCUGCGCCGGGUACGGGCGGGCUGGAGUGCGGUAGGGGAGACUGGAAUUCCCGGUGUAACGGUGGAAUGUGUAGAUAUCGGGAAGAACA